CCUACGGGGGGCAGCAGUGAGGAAUAUUGGUCAAUGGACGAGAGUCUGAACCAGCCAAGUAGUGUGAAGGAUGACUGCCCUAUGGGUUGUAAACUUCUUUUAUAUGGGAAUAAAACGUUCCACGUGUGGGAUUUUGUAUGUACCAUAUGAAUAAGGAUCGGCUAACUCCGUGCCAGCAGCCGCGGUAAUACGGAGGAUCCGAGCGUUAUCCGGAUUUAUUGGGUUUAAAGGGAGCGUAGGUGGAUUGUUAAGUCAGUUGUGAAAGUUUGCGGCUCAACCGUAAAAUUGCAGUUGAAACUGGCAGUCUUGAGUACAGUAGAGGUGGGCGGAAUUCGUGGUGUAGCGGUGAAAUGCUUAGAUAUCACGAAGAACUCCGAUUGCGAAGGCAGUUCACUGGACUGCAACUGACACCGAGGCUCGAAAGUGUGGGUAUCAAACAGGAUUAGAUACCCCUGUAGUC
rnacentral:rRNA from 1 species